rnacentral:lncRNA from 1 species
UCAGCACUACCCCCAGACCCAAUUCCCUAAUAUUAGCAGCCCAAAUUAAUAACUGACCGUCCCAAGCCAAUCCAUACCGGCUGAAUCGGCCCACCUAAGAUCCCUCUUCUCCUCUAAAACAACAACGCCAUUGAUAAUCACCAGGAACCUAUGAACUUCAGCUCCAACCCUAUUCCAAUCAACUUCGACCCAAAGAAAUACCCUAUUUCUCCUCUCCCUUACUCCGAUCGUACUCCCCAUAUGAGUAGCAUGUGGUUUCAUACCAUGGGGGUUCCGAUAAUCCUCUAGAAGAUGUGUAGGUGUCCCUUCAAUGGAUAAAUUCAGCAAAUUUCAGAGUACUCAUACGUUUUUGUACAUUAUUUAGCUAAUUUCCAUUGGUUUUGGGAAAGAAUCUAUUUUCCCCAAACCCUAGUGGUACAUCGAUUCCAGAAGAGGUAUGAAUUGAGGGCAAAAUAGAGCUGGAUGGAGGGUUUUGAAUUUGAAAGAGGCUAUUUUCAAAAAUCCCUGGAAUGCCCUCAACCCUUCUAUAAAAAGGCUCACAGAGUGGCGAGGAAAAAGGGUUUUUAAAAAGNNNNNNNNNNNNNNNNNNNNNNNNNNNNNNNNNNNNNNNNNNNNNNNNNNNNNNNNNNNNNNNNNNNNNNNNNNNNNNNNCGAGGAAAAGAAAAGGGACGCUCUGUUAGUGGUCGACAUUACAGGAUUCCGGUAGUAAUGAUUUUGUUGAUAGCUCAUUGUCCCGUUUGCUUCCCUGAAAGAGGUAGACAUAUCUCUCCCUUCUAGUUUUAUUGUCACUUUCUCGUUUAUCUCAUUUCUCCAUAUUAGUCGUUCUUUGGUUAUUAAUACUUUAACAGUAAUGCGCUGGGAAUUUAUUGCUGUAGAAAUUUUUAAAGAUCAUAGGUUGCUCUUUUUGAGAUAAAUAAUGUUGUUUGUAUUGCUAUAUUAGGAUUAAUUUCUUCCUUGAUUGUCUGAUAUGAGCCAUUAUCGUCUUUGUCUUGAUUUUGUGAUUGGUCAUCUAUUCUUGGCGUUACUGAUUAAUUGUUGUCCUAAUGAAUCAUUUUGUGGACUGUCUGUUGUUUGAAGUAGUUGAAGAUCAUGUUGUGAUUAUCGCUUAAUAAUUUUCAUCCCCUUGUUGCCCUAUUCGUAGUUGUAGUUUUAUAAUCUUGAGUACUGGGUGUAGCUCGCUGGAAGGCUAUGAAAGCCCCAGGUUUUAUAUAAACUGUGAUCUUUCAAACUUCGUUGUCGUUUCCGCAUUUAGGACAUUGAUUUUCAGAACUUCUGAUUUUGUUAUGAUUCAUCUGGGUGUAUUUGCUUUUUUAUUCAUAAAAUGUUUCUUUUUAUUUCUUUUGAUAAAAAUUUCCUUGAAUUCGACUUCGUGUAUGUUGUAUUGCUUGAAUGAUGAGCUUCUAGCCUAAAUAUUGUUGCUACUAUCCUGUUCUAAAAAGGGAUUAAAGUUCACGCCUUUUCGUUGAUUUCGCAUUAGAAUUGAAUUUUAUGGUUUCAAGUUUGUGCUGCAUGUUUCUUUUGGGUUUAUCUGCUGUCAUAAGGCCUAAACGGGGGUAAAUGGCUUGAGAAAAGUGUCUGCCAUUUAAGUUGACGAAGGACACGCUAAUACCUAUUUUCAAAAAAGUGGGCCAUUAGGUCCUCGAAAUAGUCAGGUUCCUUUAUGAUAAAAUGAAUCGUGGUGCGACUUAGUGAGUACUGUGUCAUGAUAAUAUUAUUUAUUAACUACUAAACUUGUUUAGCAUAUCGUGAAGAUUCUGUUUUCUUUUACCCGACCUAUUUCACGUCGCGAUUUCAUACUUUUCAUUAUUAAUUUUGAUCCCCGUUUCAGUGCUAUCCUUGUUUGAUGUAGAAUUCAUGUACAACUUCCCUUUGAUUUAGUAUUUCUCGGCCUAGUAACAAGUUUAACAUUUUAGUUUUGUGACUUAUGUUCCAAACUUUACUAACGAAAUUGCUGCAACACUAGGCUUUUCUUUCUCUUGUCGUUGCUAGUUAUAAGCUCAUUGCAGACGUGUGCUUGAACACUAUGGCCUGAUUCACUGUCCUUUUUUUAAUUUUAUUUUUAUGUUUGUUUUGGUUCCUUGUAUCAGUUGGUCAUGGCCUUUCUCAUUCUUAAGGCUCCUAUUGACAAAAGAUGUCAAACCAGGGUAAAUAAAUGUUUUACAAGUUUCUUUAUUCCGUUGAAUGUUACAAGUUCUUUCUUAAGUCUUUUAGUUUAUACUUUUGAGUCACCAAAGUUUCCUAUAACCUUAAUACAUAAUCUGUUAACGUUGUUUGCUUGCAAUUGUGAGAAUUUCCUAUUUUACCUUAUCCUAUUGUUUGUUUGGAAAUCAUUAGUCGAUGAAAGUUCUUCUUCAACCUUGCAAGCCAUGUGUUUCAUAUUCCUAGAGUUCGUAUAAAUCUUAUGAUUUCAUGUGUCUAUAUGUAGUAAGUGAAUUGGUGUGUUCUUUUGUUUAAAAUGUUGUCUUCUUCAUCGCACAAUUCAUUUACAAGUGUAGAAUUUAUGAGAAUAUACAUUAAUUCGCUCUUUUGUCUUUUUCUUUCUUUGCAUGAAUACAACUCGGAGUCCAAACGGGCUUAUUUCUUGCAUUUCCUUAAUGGGCCAUUGAGGCCCAUCUCAUUGAAUCAAGCCCAAAAUAAAAAUCCAAGAAUCCAUCGCAUGGCAUAUGGAGUUGCAAGGAGUCGAAAGGAAAACGGGUUAAAGUCCCGUUCUUGAAGAGGCUAUGAGACCCCAAAGUCUCAUUUAUUAUUUUGGUUUAUUUACUUAUUGUUGUAUUUAUUUAUUUAUUUAUUUUCUUAUUUAUUCAUGUGGGCCUCAAAUCCAAAGUUGUACUUAAUACAGGUGAAGCGAGACUCCAACUAAAGGCUCAAAAACAUAGAAUUAGGACAGGUGGAAGACGGGCUGAAAGCCCAAUAUCUAGAUUAGGACAGGGUUGUCGAUUUGGGCCUAAUGGCUCAAGUCCUUCUGCUUCCACCCUUUCCCUUUUACUUUUGCUAAUUUGUUUUAUGUGUUUUCUUGCGAACUUAGUUAAAAUCCCUAACUAAGUUGCUAAAAAUUGGUUUUGCAUAAACACCAAAAUAUUCCUAAAAUCGCUUUUCUUUUCAAAAACCAACAUUUUCAAGGUUAAUCAAAGAUGAUUUUUAAAUAGUCCGAAUAAUCGCAAGUUAGCGGACGUUUUAGGUGCCUAACACCUUCCCAAAACGUUAAUAGGAACCACUUACUCGGAAUCUUUAAAACUUAAAAUAAUUUUUCUGUUUUGAAUCAUUUGAAGUAACUCUCUAAAGGUUUCUUAAUUCCUUUUUAAAAUUAAGUGGCAACUCUUCUCAAAAAGUCAAAAUUUCUCCGCAAAACAUGGGAUAUCCAUCAAUGGGUUCCUUCCACCCAUUGAGUCUUAAAAUCCCUUAUUUUUCAAAUAUAAACCCUUUUCCCUCUUCUUAUGAAAUUUCAAUUUUAAGUAUGAAAUUACUUAAUUUUCUCUAUAUAGUUUUGAAUACAAGUCAUGAUAAAUGUGUUUCCCAAGUGAAUUGUGUUCUUACAUUCUUUAUAAUCCCAAUCACCCAUAUCAUGUUCAGUUGACACCAUGUUAAUUUACCAAUCUAUGAAUUAAACAAUGUGAGUAUGUUGUCCUCAUAAGUUUAACAUAUUCUCAUACCUAUAAUCAUAGUGUUCAUCAGUUAGUGAUAUAUUCUAUUUUUUAGGUCUCUAAAUCAUGAAUUUCCUUACAGUAGUUUAAAUGAUAUUACUUUAUUUAAAGUAUUAUUCAGUGUUGGAAGGUUAUGAACACCCAAUACGUAUAUGUUUAUGUAUGUUUCCAUUUCAAGCAACAAUGUCAGUCAAAUCAUGGUUUUACAAUCAAAUUCAGAUUAUCAUAUUCAUGUUGUGCAAUUAUCAGUUGUGAGUCCUAUUAACUUUAAUCAGAACCAGUGUUAUUUUAAUUGGAAGUAGGAUAUAGCAUCGGGACCUAGGGAUGAGGGUUCACCUGCCAGUCAAGGGUGUGACUAUUAGUAGCAGCCCCUGAGUUUUAGAACUACGUAACCAUCGUAGGUUUUGAGAGGUCUUCCUGGAAGCUAAGGGUUGACACUCUCUUAGGGGAACUCGUCAGUAGAAGGUGACUUCAUAGUUCUUUGGGACAUCAUCCUUAUGGACCUACACCGUCCGCCAUGUGUUGGUACCCAUGGCAAGGUACCAGCACCCUUCCAACCAGGGUUACAGGUUGGACCCUAAUCAGCUCAGAUUAGGGCAUGUCAGUUACAUUAUAGCUCCAACAGUCUCAUUUCAUUACUCAAAUCAUAUCAGCUCAGGUUUGCAAGACCAAGUGUUCAGUUUAUCAAUUAUUCAAUUUUACAUAUUAUUUUAGUACAUGCUUUACUUGGUCUUGCAUUUGUUUUACAUUUUCCUACAUUCAUGAUCAAUAUCUCUAUGCCCUUUAGUUAGUCCUUAUCUCACGUACUAGUACAUUCAAAGUACUUAUCGCAUACUCUCUUUUAUGCUAUGUUGUUUUAUAACAUAGGUUCGGACGCUCAAUUCCUCUAUCGCUCUUAGUCAG